UACGAACUGUGCAAACGUUAUUCGGAAUCACUGGGCUUACAGGGUGCGUAGGCGGCUUGUUAAGUAGGGUGUGAAAGCCCCCGGCUCAACCGAGGAAUUGCGCCCUAAACUGGCGAGCUGGAGUGAGAUAGGGGUGUGUGGAACUUCCGGUGGAGCGGUGAAAUGUGUUGAUAUCGGAAGGAACGCCGGUGGCGAAAGCGACACACUGGAUCUUGUCUGACGCUGAGGCACGAAAGCCAGGGGAGCGAACGGG
rnacentral:rRNA from 1 species